rnacentral:rRNA from 1 species
GCCGCGUGCAGGAUGAAGGCCUUCGGGUUGUAAACUGCUUUUAUAAGCGAGAAAUAUGAUGGUAACUUAUGAAUAAGGAUCGGCUAACUACGUGCCAGCAGCCGCGGUCAUACGUAGGAUCCGAGCGUUAUCCGGAGUGACUGGGCGUAAAGAGUUGCGUAGGCGGUUUGUUAAGUGAAUAGUGAAAUCUGGUGGCUCAACCAUACAGGCUAUUAUUCAAACUGGCAAACUCGAGAGUGGUAGAGGUCACUGGAAUUUCUUGUGUAGGAGUGAAAUCCGUAGAUAUAAGAAGGAACACCGAUGGCGUAGGCAGGUGACUGGACCAUUUCUGACGCUAAGGCACGAAAGCGUGGGGAGCGAACCGGAUUAGAUACCCGGGUAGUCCACGCCGUAAACGAUGGAUACUAGCUGUUGGAGGUAUCGACCCCUUCAGUAGCGAAGCUAACGCGUUAAGUAUCCCGCCUGUGGAGUACGGCCGCAAGGCUAAAACAUAAAGGAAUUGACGGGGACCCGCACAAGCGGUGGAUCAUGUUCUUUAAUUCGAUGAUAAACGAAGAACCUUACCAGGGCUUGACAUCCAGGGAAUUUUUGGGAAACCAAUUAGUGCCUUUUGGAACCCUGUGACAGGUGAUGCAUGGCCGUCGUCAGCUCGUGUCGUGAGAUGUUUGGUUAAGUCCAUCAACGAGCGCAACCCUUGCAACCAGUUGUAUUUUUCUGGUAGGACUGCCCCGGUAACGGGGAGGAAGGAGGGGAUGAUGUCAGGUCAGUAUUUCCCUUACG